UCUAAUUUCUAGUGGUUAGAGUGUCCGCCUCAGAUGCGGAAGGUCCCGGGAUCUAAUCCCGGCCGCGUCACAU